AAACGCUGGCGGCGUGCCUAAUACAUGCAAGUCGAACGAGGAAAGCACCUUCGGGUGCCGGUACUAGUGGCGCACGGGUGAGUAACGCGUGGAUAAUCUGCCCUCUGGCGGGGAAUAACCAGUCGAAAGAUUGGCUAAUACCGCAUAAGACCACAGUUUCUGCGGAAGCAGUGGUUAAUGAUUUAUCACCAGAGGAUGAGUCCGCGUCCGAUUAGCUUGAUGGUGGGGUAAAGGCCUACCAUAGCUACGAUCGGUAGCUGGUCUGAGAGGAUGAUCAGCCACACUGGAACUGAGACACGGUCCAGACUCCUACGGGAGGCAGCAGUAGGGAAUCUUGCGCAAUGGGGGAAACCCUGACGCAGCGACGCCGCGUGAGUGAUGAAGGCCUUCGGGUUGUAAAGCUCUGUUCUAUGGGAACAAAAAAAUGAGUGUACCAUAGAAGAAAGGACCGGCUAACUCCGUGCCAGCAGCCGCGGUAAUACGGGGGGUCCUAGCGUUGUUCGGAAUCAUUGGGCGUAAAGCGGGUGUAGGCGGAUUGGUCAGUCAGAAGUGAAAGCCCCGGGCUCAACCCGGGAAGUGCUUUUGAUACUGCCAAUCUUGAGUGUGGGAGAGGGUAGUAGAAUUCCAGGUGUAGUGGUGAAAUACGUAGAUAUCUGGAGGAACACCGGUGGCGAAGGCGGCUACCUGGCCCAACACUGACGCUCAGACCCGAAAGCGUGGGUAGCAAACAGGAUUAGAUACCCUGGUAGUCCACGCCGUAAACACUGGACACUUGUUGUUGGAGGUAUUGACCCCUUCAAGUGACGGAGUUAACGCGUUAAGUGUCCCGCCUGGGGAGUACGGCCGCGAGGUUAAAACUCAAAGAAAUUGACGGGGGCCCGCACAAGCGGUGGAGCAUGUGGUUUAAUUCGAAUGCACGCGCAGAACCUUACCUGGCCUUGACAUCUAGUGGAAGUAUCUCAGAGAUGAGUACGCCUUCGGGCCGCUAGACAGGUGCUGCA
rnacentral:rRNA from 1 species